UACGUAGGGUGCGAGCGUUGUCCGGAAUUAUUGGGCGUAAAGAGCUCGUAGGCGGUUUGUCGCGUCUGCUGUGAAAAUCCAGGGCUUAACCCUGGACCUGCAGUGGGUACGGGCAGACUAGAGUGCGGUAGGGGAGAUCGGAAUUCCUGGUGUAGCGGUGAAAUGCGCAGAUAUCAGGAGGAACACCGGUGGCGAAGGCGGAUCUCUGGGCCGUAACUGACGCUGGAGGAGCGAAAGCAUGGGGAGCGAACAGG
rnacentral:rRNA from 1 species